rnacentral:lncRNA from 1 species
AUACAUAUAUAUGUGGCGAACUGCACGCAUGCAGCAGCUAGAGCUAGCUGAUCGGUGAUGGACGUACAUAGCCAGUCAUUGCGUCACCUGCCGGCCGCUUGCUAACUAUAUAAACUGAUCGAUCGGUGAGCAUGCGUGCAGUUGAGCACACGAUCGAGCUGCUGGCAACGAGAUGACGCACGGAACACGGUGACGCAUGCAUGGAUGGAGAAAGAGGAGAACUACACCGGAGGUAGGAGAGAGAGAGAGAGAGAGAGAGAGAGAGAGAGAGAGAGAGAGAGAGAGCUCCCUGGCCUCCUGCUACAUGAUGCUAGCUAUAGCUGUGAAGCAAUGCAAAAGCUUCGUCGUCUUGCAAGACGAGACAAGCAGCUGAAGCUGGUAACGACAUAUACAUGUGGGUGUUGUGGCGUUAGCCGAUGAAUAUGCAUGUGCAUGCCUGCGUUUCCCUGAGUUCUUCGAUCGGGCUAGUAUAUAUGGGGGGAGAGCGAGCGAGAGAAGAAUGAAGGUUGGUACGGGUGAGCGCCUAGCC